CAGAUAUAGUUUAAUGGCAAAACUUCAGCUUCCCAAGCUGAUAAUGCGGGUUCGAUUCCCGUUAUCUG
rnacentral:tRNA from 1 species